AACGAACGCUGGCGGCAUGCCUAACACAUGCAAGUCGAACGAAUGGUUUCGGCCAUUAGUGGCGCACGGGUGAGUAACGCGUGGGAAUCUGCCCAGCAGUGGGGGAUAACCUCUGGAAACGGAGGCUAAUACCGCAUACGCCCCUCGGGGGAAAGGCUUGCUGCUGCUGGAGGAGCCCGCGUCGGAUUAGGUAGUUGGUGGGGUAACGGCCUACCAAGCCUGUGAUCCGUAGCUGGUCUGAGAGGAUGAUCAGCCACACUGGGACUGAGACACGGCCCAGACUCCUACGGGAGGCAGCAGUGGGGAAUAUUGGACAAUGGGCGCAAGCCUGAUCCAGCAAUGCCGCGUGAGUGAUGAAGGCCUCGGUUGUAAG
rnacentral:rRNA from 1 species